CCGCCCGGCCACUCUCUCACCCCGUAGCUACCACACGGAGAGCAGAAGUCGAGGAACGAUCGAGGUCCGUCGCCGCGAGUGUGUCUCCAAGCAGACGCCGCCGGCCGGCUCUGCUCCGGUCAUCUGCAACUACGAUCUUGGACGGUGACAUAAUAGUCCGACAUUGAUCCGUAACGGGGAGACAGCCGCCGGCACGGCGGUGCACCGGGGCCGGGGGCCCUGCGCGCGCGCGCGGUUGCACACAUCACACAGUUUCCUAUAUUGGACAAGUAAAGUGUGGUACUAGCUAGCUGCCCACUGACACGCAAUGGAACAAGUUGACAUUUGGGCGCCCAUCUUGGCCGAUCCUCUUCCAAGCCAACAGGCGGAGAUUAAAGUUCACUCAACAUAUGUGGAUUACGGCACCAUGGACUUUCAAGCACUCUUGGAAGGACCCCAUGAUUUGGACAGAUGGCUGAAAGGUGCAUUCAUUCCUACUUAUAUAAAGGAGGCGAAUUUAACUCAUGAGGCAAGAUUUUCGCACAUCCAAAUGUACAAACUUGCAAAACAAAUGAACGUGGCAAAUGGCAUUGAAAAACUGUUUCAUCAUUGCA